GUUCCAUUAAGGGUGCUGGGAGGUAAGAGUAUAGGAUUCUAGGACUCAGCAACAUUGGCCCUGUUUGGAAAUCAUCAAACUCUUGCUUGGAGCCUCUUAGGGAUUGGCUGGGGUCUUGACAUUGAUCCUAGACCUCAGUGCUAGGGCUAGAAUUGGGGAUCACUUUGAUUGGGUCUUCAGGUCUCUGUCACGUUUUCUUUUUUUUAAAACCUAUUUUUUAUUCUAAAUUGUUAUAUAUGACAGCAGGGCGCAUUAUACUUUACACAUUUAGAGCACAAUUUUUCAUAUCUCUGGUUGUAUAUAAAGUAUAGUCACACCAUCCAUGUCUUCAUACAUGUACUUAGGAUAAUGAUGUCCAUCUCAUUCCACCAUCUUUUUUACCCCUAUGCCCUCUCCCCCUACCCUCCCUUCCCUUUGCCCUAUUUAGAGUUUGUCUAAUCCCCACUAGAAUUAACCUCCUUAUAUCAGAGAAAACAUUUGGCAUUUGGUUUUGUGGGAUUGUCUGCCACAUUUUCAUUCCGGUGCUGCCUUUAUCUCCUGCAGAAAGAGUGAUUGCCCCAUCCUCUUGAUUGUGCAGAGUAAAGCCAGAACCUUCAGAGCUCAGUCCUUUGAUUUAAUGGUCAAGCCACGAGUAUUCCUGUGUUGCUGGUAUUCUGCCAUCUAGUGUUGAGAGUCUAAAAUCACAUGCAUAUCAAAAAGCCCAAAGCCCAUCAGUAUUGCCCUGUUGGUGUGUCUGGCAAGAUGAGUUACAGAGAGAGUCCCAGAGCAGGAAGGAACAUAGUAGGCUAGCUAGUUCAUUGCUUUUUGGACAUGUUAAAAUACAGCCUUCUCCAAACAAAAUCUGUUAUGGAGACACCAAAUGUGUGAACCAUAAAAUCAAAAUUGCUCUGGUUGAGAGGUCCGUCAACCACACCUACCCCCUCCUGCAUAGUGUUUCCUAUGCUACCCAAAAAGCCACAGUUUGAAAGUAUAAUGGAGUUUUAGUCUCCAUUGUAAAUGAGGAAACUGAGGCCUAGAGGGAGUAAAUAAAUUACCCACAAUUAUGGAAUAAGUAGACGAGCAGAAAAAUUAAAUCCAGUCUGUCUUUUUCUUUUACCUUCUAUCCUUAAUAUCCCUUGACCAGUCCAUGAAAUCUCUUAUUACUAAUCACAAAAAGCCAGCAGAGACCCUUAGGAGAGCAAGAAAAGAUUUUGGUUUCACUGAUUGCCAGGAAAGCCAGAGAAGACAGAAAUAUUUCAACUCCUGGUGGCACAUAUGUGUAAUCCCAGCUACUCAGGAAGGUGAGGCAGGUGGAUCACAGGUUCAAGCCAGCCUGGGCAAUUCAGUAAGACCUUGACUCAAAACAAAAAAUGAAAGGCUGGGAUGUAGCUCAGUAGUAGAGUGCCCUGGGUUCAGUCCCUAGUACCACAAAAGAAAUAUUCUGUUUCUUAUUGCCAUUCCUCUUAUUCAUUUACAGCCUGCUUUCUUGGGCAGUAGGAUCCCAAAUUGAAGGGCACAGGUUGGCCUUUCCUGCUGCCCUGGUGGGAAACCCACAGAUCUUCCUGUAGCACCAGAGUAGCUUUCCAAACCCAGAAUUCCACAUAGCUGAGGAAAAUAAAGGAUCUUGUCCUUAAGUGGCUUGUAGAGACUAGAUGGUACAGAAAAGUCACCAUUGCCAGGAAUGGAAUGAGGAACAAUUGAAACUGGCCUUGUUCCUUAGCUCCUCCCAGAGACAGUGUGCAGGGCCUAGAGGGUGCCUUUUGAUACAAUUGGGAGACCAAUUCCUACACCAGGGAAUAGUGUCAGUGGUAGCUACUACCCAAGGAUGGAACUGGGAUCAUCAGAGAUUUAGAUAACUUGUGCCACUUACACUCCUUUCAGAGGACACCCACUGUUAUUUCAACACAGGAUCUUCCCAUUGCACACCCUUGGUGCCUCUGUCAGAAACCCAGCUAAGAGCCAAGAGGUCAGCUCUGCCCUUUUUAGGACUCUGCUUGACUGUUUCAGGACUUCUUCACAGCUGGAAGAGCCUUUUAAAUGUCACCUGGUACAAUCAUGGCCUCUCACAGAGGAAAGGACAGUCCAGGGCAGACACUUAGUGGCAGAGUCAGAGUUGAGCCCAGGCCCAGGCGCCCAUUGCAGGCUGAUGCCUGGCCCACUUCUGUGAUCCUCUGCAGGUUUUGUUUGAUUUUUCCCUAGUGGUAGUGGUGUUUCUGUGGGGCCUUUUGCUUGUUCACCUUGGUCUAUGAACCAAGCAAGUCAGAAACCUGCUGAUCCAGGGAAGGCUGGAAACAAGAGGCUAGGUGCAGAGCCCAGCACAGGCACAGGCCCCACCCAGGCUGAGUCAGCUGCCAGGAUGUUGGGGCCCAGGAUCUGGACUGGGGUCCCCGCCUUUCCACCUUGAUGAAGAGCUGCCACCUUGCUGUCCUGAGCCCACUUCCUCAGUUUGAGGCCUGUAAUCUUAGCACCCCGACCCCUAUUCAUUGAGGAUCACUGCUUGGUGACACUGGGUGGCACAUGUAUACAUCUGGCAGUCACUUGAUCACAGUCCUGCUCUGGCC
rnacentral:lncRNA from 1 species